AUUGAACGCUGGCGGCAUGCUUUACACAUGCAAGUCGAACGGUAACAGGCCGCAAGGUGCUGACGAGCGGCGAACGGGUGAGUAAUGCAUCGGAACGUGCCCAGUCGUGGGGGAUAACGCAGCGAAAGCUGCGCUAAUACCGCAUACGAUCUGUGGAUGAAAGCGGGGGACCGAAAGGCCUCGCGCGAUUGGAGCGGCCGAUGUCAGAUUAGGUAGUUGGUGGGGUAAAGGCCCACCAAGCCAACGAUCUGUAGCUGGUCUGAGAGGACGACCAGCCACACUGGGACUGAGACACGGCCCAGACUCCUACGGGAGGCAGCAGUGGGGAAUUUUGGACAAUGGGCGCAAGCCUGAUCCAGCAAUGCCGCGUGCAGGAAGAAGGCCUUCGGGUUGUAAACUGCUUUUGUACGGAACGAAACGGUCCGGGUUAAUACCCUGGGCUAAUGACGGUACCGUAAGAAUAAGCACCGGCUAACUACGUGCCAGCCGCCGCAGUAACAC
rnacentral:rRNA from 1 species